rnacentral:lncRNA from 1 species
AUGAAACAACACAAUAAACGCAGAAACACGAAACAUAACAGAAUCACAGAGAACAGAAACACAAAGAAACAUCAAGAACAUAACUUAUUAUUAACGAGAAAUGAAAAUUACAAAAGUUUACCGAACAAAGAUGCAAUCGGAGCCACCACGGGCUGUCACCACCGUGGUUGAGCGCUCCAAAAGCACGAAAACCAAAACCCUAAGCUAAAGGCGAAAAGUAAAAUUGUAGAGAGUGUCAAAGAGUGUGUCUAAGAGUCUGUAAAAAAACCCUAUUUACAUGGCAAGAGCCCCUUUUUAUAGGGUUCAAAAAAAAAUGAAAAGAAAGAAAAUGAAAGGGGGAAAAGGGAAAGAGGAAACUUGCUCUCUAUGCUUUGAUAAUCGGACGACCAACCUUUCUUUUGCCUCCAUCCGUUUGAUCU